rnacentral:rRNA from 1 species
GAUGAACGCUGGCGGCGUGCCUAAUACAUGCAAGUCGAGCGAACAGACGAGGAGCUUGCUCCUCUGACGUUAGCGGCGGACGGGUGAGUAACACGUGGAUAACCUACCUAUAAGACUGGGAUAACUUCGGGAAACCGGAGCUAAUACCGGAUAAUAUAUUGAACCGCAUGGUUCAAUAGUGAAAGACGGUUUUGCUGUCACUUAUAGAUGGAUCCGCGCCGCAUUAGCUAGUUGGUAAGGUAACGGCUUACCAAGGCGACGAUGCGUAGCCGACCUGAGAGGGUGAUCGGCCACACUGGAACUGAGACACGGUCCAGACUCCUACGGGAGGCAGCAGUAGGGAAUCUUCCGCAAUGGGCGAAAGCCUGACGGAGCAACGCCGCGUGAGUGAUGAAGGUCUUCGGAUCGUAAAACUCUGUUAUUAGGGAAGAACAAAUGUGUAAGUAACUAUGCACGUCUUUACGGUACCUAAUCAGAAAGCCACGGCUAACUGCGUG